UGGGGAAUAUUGGACAAUGGGCGCAAGCCUGAUCCAGCCAUGCCGCGUGAGUGAUGAAGGCCCUAGGGUUGUAAAGCUCUUUCACCGGUGAAGAUAAUGACGGUAACCGGAGAAGAAGCCCCGGCUAACUUCGUGCCAGCAGCCGCGGUAAUACGAAGGGGGCUAGCGUUGUUCGGAUUUACUGGGCGUAAAGCGCACGUAGGCGGACUAUUAAGUCAGGGGUGAAAUCCCGGGGCUCAACCCCGGAACUGCCUUUGAUACUGGUAGUCUUGAGUGCGAGAGAGGUGAGUGAAAUUCCGAGUGUAGAGGUGAAAUGCGUAGAUAUUCGGAGGAAAACCAGUGGCGAAGGCGGCUCACUGGCUCGAUACUGACGCUGAGGUGCGAAAGCGUGGGGAGCAAACAGG
rnacentral:rRNA from 1 species